rnacentral:rRNA from 1 species
CACUAAUACCGGAUAAUGUAGUCUUCUUAAGUGAGGAUUACCUUAUCAGCUUGAGAGCGGCCUAUCUCCUAUCAGCUAGUUGGUGAGGCUCACCAAGGCAAUGACGGGUAGCGGGACUGAGAGGUUGACCAUCGGGACUGAGACACUGCCCGGACCUCCACGGAGGGCUGCAGUAACGAAUAUUGUGGGCGAAAGCCUGACCCAGCGACGCCGCGUGCGGGAGGAAGUUCAUGUAAACCGCUGUCAGGGAGAAGAAAGACCGUGAUCUAUCCCAGAGGAAGCAACGGCUAACUUCGUGCCAGCAGUAAUACGAAGGUUGCAAGCGUUGUUCGGAAUCACUGGGCUUAAGUAGGCGGAUGAGUAAGCGUUUUGUGAAAUCCCUCGGCUUAACUUGCUUGGCGAACUGCUCAUCUUGAGGCAAAUAGGGGUAC